rnacentral:tRNA from 1 species
CCCCUCGUAGCUCAAUGGAUCGAGCAGCGCUCUUCUAAGGCGUUGAUGGGGGUUCGAUUCCCUCCGAGGGGACCA